UGGGGAAUAUUGCACAAUGGGCGAAAGCCUGAUGCAGCGACGCCGCGUGUAGGAAGACGGCCUUCGGGUUGUAAACUACUGUCUUUGGGGACGAUAAUGACGGUACCCAAGGAGGAAGCCACGGCUAACUACGUGCCAGCAGCCGCGGUAAUACGUAGGUGGCGAGCGUUGUCCGGAAUUACUGGGUGUAAAGGGAGCGUAGGCGGGAAUGCAAGUCUUAUGUGAAAACUAUCGGCUCAACCGGUAGUGGCGUAGGAAACUGCAUUUCUUGAGUGAAGUAGAGGUAAGUGGAAUUCCUAGUGUAGCGGUGAAAUGCGUAGAUAUUAGGAGGAACACCAGUGGCGAAGGCG
rnacentral:rRNA from 1 species